rnacentral:tRNA from 1 species
GUUCCCAUGGUGUAUAAACACGUUAGAUUUUCGAUCUAGAGUAGGGCUUUUGCCCUGGGAAUA